CAGAUAUUGAUCCCAAGGAAGUUAUAUAGUAUAAAAGACAACGUAUCAACAACCUCAACCCCUUCACAAGAUAAGGAGAAUGUACCAACUCAAGAAUUAAAUACCAUUCUAAACGAAAUUCUGGAAAAGCAGAGGGAAAUAUUGGAUAAGAUACAUUCUUUAGAAUCAAAUCAACAGAUAUUAUUCGAUACAUUAGGUUCACUAAAUAAUGGACAAGUGUUGAUAACAGGGAAUCAGAAACAAAUCACGCACAAAUUGGAAACAGUGGAACAAAAAUCUAUAGAUAGAGCGGAAAUGCUAGAACAGAGUUCCCUUAUUAGGGAAUGUAAGGUGCAUUUAAAAAAAAUUGAGCGAUCGGUGUGCCUCAUGACCGGAGAGGAAAAAGACGAGGCUCUCGACCAGGUAGCAAGUCUUUUACCUAUUCAAAACUUUGAGGGAUGUUUGGAAGUGGAAGAAAUGUUAGAGAAACCUGAGUUCGCACAAUCUAUGAUCAGUUAUGUCCAUAAACUUAAAGCGACAUCGGAAAAUAUUGAAAAUUCUUUCAAAUAUAUUUAUUUAUUUAUUAGGAGUAUUAAACCUAAUUUAAAAAAAAAAAAGAGAGUACGAGCUAUUAAAGCCAUCGACUCUGAACAAACAAAUAUCUUAGGUUACUUGCUAAAUAUAAAGUUAUA